CACUGCCUUCGUCGCAUUGCGGGUGUCAGGGGUAAUUUAUUAGAUGGAUUUAUUGGUAUUGUGACCGUUGAAAGGUGGUGCUCUAUCAGUCGCCUUAGUGGUGAACCAGUGGUUUUGACACAGGAGUUCAUCACAUCACCUACCACCAGGAGGCAUCCCUCCUUCAGAUCCAAGUCUGCUGUGAGCACCAGCUUCUAUCUAGACAGCACCCAUGAGGCGGACCGGUGACCCUCGCGUUCAGUCACCACGGGUAGCUGCAGUUUCCGUUCGGGUGACGUCACGAUGCCUCUGCUGAGUCCCCGCAAUAACGGCCGGAUGGCUCAGAGUGCGGCCGGCUCGCGGAACUCGCAGCUCUACACCGUCGAGGUGGGAGACACGCGCUUCCAGAUCCUCAAACGCUACCAGAACCUCAAACCCAUCGGCUCCGGCGCCCAGGGCAUCG